AUCGCUUCUCGGCCUUUUGGCUAAGAUCAAGUGUAGUAUCUGUUCUUAUCAGUUUAAUAUCUGAUACGUCCCCUACCCGGGGACCAUAUAUUAAAUUGAUUUUUGGAGCAGGGAGAUGGAAUAGGGGUUUGCUCCGUCCACUCCACGCAUCGACCUGGUAUUGCAGUACCUCCAGGAACGGUGCACCCACC
rnacentral:snRNA from 1 species